rnacentral:rRNA from 1 species
UUCGGGUGCCGACGAGUGGCGAACGGGUGAGUAACGCGUGGAUACCUGUCCUUUGGUGGGGAAUAACGUCUAGAAAUGGACGCUAAUACCGCAUAAGCCCUGAGGGGGAAAGAUUUAUCGCCAAAGGAGGGGUCCGCGUCGGAUUAGCUAGUUGGUGGGGUAACGGCCUACCAAGGCGACGAUCCGUAGCUGGUCUGAGAGGAUGAUCAGCCACACUGGGACUGAGACACGGCCCAGACUCCUACGGGAGGCAGCAGUGGGGAAUAUUGCGCAAUGGAGGAAACUCUGACGCAGCGACGCCGCGUGGGUGAAGAAGGCCUUAGGGUUGUAAAGCCCUUUCAGUGGGAAAGAUGAUGACGGUACCCACAGAAGGAGCCCCGGCUAACUCCGUGCCAGCAGCCGCGGUAAUACGGAGGGGGCCAGCGUUGUUCGGAAUUACUGGGCGUAAAGGGCGCGUAGGCGGUUGAUCAAG